AUUUUAAUUGGACCUGGUUCAUUGAACAACAACACUUUGGAAUUCACAGGAAAUAUACUUCAAGAGCCAUAUUUUAAUAUCAACCAUACCAAGUACAUGAAUUAUGGUACACUAGGAUCCAAAGUUGCCAGCAGCAUAAUUGAAAGCUUGAACAUCAACUGGACAAGCAGCAAGAUGCAUCAACAAAUAGUCCAAUGCAGAU